CGACACAACAGUGUUCCAUGGCACAUUGGUUGGAAAACACUGAUAUAGGGACAAAAAAACAUCACCACUGCAUAAUGAGCAAUGGUACGUUGACCUGUCAGGUUUUGAGGCUCCUCAUACGAUACAGUGUUUUAUUGUACGACUUUUUGUUGAAAAUAAAAUCCACAGAUGCGCACAAAAAAAUUACAGUUGAGGAAGACGUGCAUUGCAACAAAAAUAGUGAGAAUACAACAGACUCGCUCCCAUUCAUUUGAAUGAGCUGGUGAUCACGUGUACACUAAAUACAUUACUAGACAGCACCGGAUGUACCUCCCAACGGUUGCUAACACGGAAGUGUGAAGCGUGUGCCCAAUGUCUCUCUCUCUCUCUCUCUCUCUCUCUCUCUCUCUCUCUCUCUCUCUCUCUCUCUCUCUCUCUCUCUCUCUCUCUCCGUCCUUCCCUCCUUCCGCCCACAAAUGAUUGUCAGAAUAAGCUUUACGCCUCGCUCACACCGGGUACGAAAUGGCUGCGGUGCAGUUUAUCCGCGGAACACUGGCGCACUACAGCUCACAACGGCGGCAAUCAACUGCGUUGCGGCUCCGGAAAUCUCCGCCCACGAGACCACAAGAUCACGGGGGAAGGGUACGGAGUGCACGCUGAAGAGUUGACUUCAGUCCUUGGUACACUCCCUACGCCAUCUAAUCUAUCUGUUAACUCCGUUAACUUCCUUCACAUCCUGCAUUGGGAUCCUGGGCCUGGAACCCCACCAGGUGUACAGUACACGGUCUUCUCAAGGUUAAGCGGUGAAAAGGUAAAAGAAGCACUGAAUGACUACACAACUGCAACGUCUUUACAGCUGAGGUUGGAUGAUUAUAAGUACUAUUUGACUGUCCAAGCAUUCUUCAAUGGAACCUGGUCUCCAGAGUCUGAAGAAAUCUCGUUCACUCCUUUUGAACAAAGUAUCUCUGAUAGGUCCUCCAAAGGUAAUGGUGACUGACUGUGGCAACUGCAUUCUUAUCAACAUAUCCCUGCCCAAGGCUGACAAAAGCUCAGGAAUACCAAACAAUGACAUCCUGGCCUUCUACAAAGGAAAGUUCAGGGUCUUGUGGAAGAAAUCUAACAAAACUGAGGUUUGCAAAACUGAAGCCAGUAGUGUUAAAAUUGACAACUUGGAGACGGGCAAAGAGUACUGUGUACAGAUUCAAACUGAGAUUACCAUGAAUAAUAAUACUAAGCCAUCAACCUGGGUAUGCACCUUCACAAGUACGACUGCAGAUUUGAUCAGAGUACCUGUUCCCGGCACAUUGAUAGGUCUUGGGAUUUUUUGCAUUGGUGCCUUGAUGACAUUAACAUAUUGUCUGUACCACAAUGGAUUCGCUUCUAAAUUUCAAGCAACUCUUCCAAGAGCACUAAUUAUGCAUGCCAAAUCUCUGGCAGUAGAGGAAACGAGCCCUGAUUUCAUCUCAGUUUGCACAGAUACAUACAAACAGAAGUGUACUAUUGCCACAGCAUUAUAUCCUGCCCACAGAACCACAUGCUCAGGGAAGGAUGAGGGGGAAGUGGAUGAAGAGGAAGAAAGUGAAGGAAAUGAUUUCUACAUUAACAGAGAUGGUGAAACGUCCUCACAGGAAAGUUCCUGUCGUUAUUCUGGUGAUGUAUUAAGGACAAGUUUGACUGUGAGGUCACACACUGAAGCAGAUGCAUCUAAGUUAUCAUCUGGGACUGUUUCAGCAGAGCUGGAUCAAUUCAAGACUGGAGUUGAAAAUUGCACUAUUUUGUUUCAGCAACCUGAAAUGGAAGUCAAGGAGCAACUCAUGUUUGAGUUGGAAGAGGAAAUUAAUGAGAAUACUGUCAGCGUGUCUGAAAAUGUCAACCUAUCAUCUGUGACUCUGACUGCUAUAACCAUAUGCGAGAAAGAACUUGUUGAUUCUUUGAGGCUUUCUGAACCUUUAAUGUUCAGAGAGACAAAUGAAAUUUUGGUCCAUACAGACUUAAAUGACUUGACAUCAACGGUCUAUACAUGCUUUGGUGAAACUCGCUAUGAGAGUAAGUGUGAUGACGUUGAAACACAAGAUAGGUUGGACGAAGAACAAUUCUUAGGAUAUGUGCGACGCUGAUUUGCUUCUGCAACAUACAGUCAUAGAAAAAAUUACUAGACACACAUGUUGCCUCAGUUACCUGUUCAUUUUUUUCAAAGUACCCACUUUUUAACGGAGACAACUUUGCACAUCUUGGUAUUUUGUUCAAAUUUAUAUGUAUCACCUCAUUUUCAAAGGGGUACCAGGUAAAAAUAAAAAAA